UACAGAGGGUGCAAGCGUUGUUCGGAAUUAUUGGGCGUAAAGCGCGUGUAGGCGGCUUAGCAAGUUGGGGGUGAAAUCCCGGGGCUCAACCCCGGAACUACCUUCAAAACUGCGGGUCUGGAGGUCGAGAGAGGUGAGUGGAAUUCCGAGUGUAGAGGUGAAAUUCGUAGAUAUUCGGAGGAACACCAGUGGCGAAGGCGGCUCACUGGCUCGAUACUGACGCUGAGGUGCGAAAGCGUGGGGAGCAAACAGG
rnacentral:rRNA from 1 species